rnacentral:rRNA from 1 species
UACGUAGGGGGCGAGCGUUAAUCGGAAUUACUGGGCGUAAAGCGUGCGUAGGUGGUUCGUUAAGUCAGCUGUGAAAGCCCCGGGCUCAACCUGGGAACUGCGGUUGAAACUGGCGAACUAGAAUCUGGCAGAGGGGGGUGGAAUUCCACGUGUAGCAGUGAAAUGCGUAGAGAUGUGGAGGAACACCGAUGGCGAAGGCAGCCCCCUGGGCUGAGAUUGACGCUCAGGCACGAAAGCGUGGGGAGCAAACAGG